rnacentral:rRNA from 1 species
UCCGGAGAGGGAGCCUGAGAGACGGCUACCACAUCUAAGGAAGGCAGCAGGCGCGUAAAUUACCCAAUCCUGACACAGGGAGGUAGUGACAAUAAAUAACAAUGCCGGGCUCAUCUGAGUCUGGCAAUUGGAAUGAGAACAAUUUAAAUCCCUUAUCGAGGAUCAAUUGGAGGGCAAGUCUGGUGCCAGCAGCCGCGGUAAUUCCAGCUCCAAUAGCGUAUAUUAAAGUUGUUGCAGUUAAAAAGCUCGUAGUUGGAUUUCUAGCGGACGCCGAUGGUCUGCUCCGCGAGGAGUCGGUACUGAUUGGUCGUCUGUUAUCCUUGGGAUGAUCGGGUCUGGCAUUCAGUUGUCGGGUUCGGGAGUCCCAUCGUUUACUGUGAAAAAAUUAGAGUGUUCAAAGCAAGCUUAGGCUCUGAAUAUAUUUGCAUGGAAUAAUAAGAUAGGACCUUGGUGGUCUAUUUUGUUGGUUUGCACGCCGAGGUAAUGAUUAAUAGGGAUAGUUGGGGGUAUUCGUAUUCAAUUGUCAGAGUGAAAUUCUUGGAUUUAUGGAGACGACUACUGCGAAAGCAUUUACCAAGGAUGUUUUCAUUAUCAGACGAAAGUUAGGGAUCGAAGAUGAUAGAUACCAUCGUAGUCUUACCAUAAACUAUGCCGACUCAGGAUCGCAGUCGUUCUAUCGACUCCGUCAGCACCGUAUGAAAAUCAAGUCUUUGGGUCCGGGGGGAGUAUGUCACAAGCUGAACCUUAAAGAAGUGACGAGCACCACAGGAUGGAGCCUGCGCUAAUGA